ensembl:snRNA U6 U6 spliceosomal RNA
CUGCUCUCUUUGGCAGCACAUAUGCUAAAACUGGAAUGAUAUAGAGAAGAUUAGCAUGGCCCCUACGAAAGGAUGACAUGCAAAUUUGUGAAGCGUUCCAUAUUCUU